GGCGCCGUCCGAGGGCUCCGUUUGAAACAUGGCGCGGGCUGGGCCUCGGCUGCUGCUGAGCGAGGAGGCAGUUCGGGCGAAGAGCGGCCUAGGGCCUCACCGCGACCUGGCUGAGCUUCGGUCAUUGUCUAUUCCUGGAACUUACCAAGAGAAGAUUACCCACCUGGGACAUUCUCUGAUGAGUUUAACGGGUCUGAAAUCUUUGGAUCUCUCGCGCAACUCAUUGGUUAGUCUGGAGGGCAUUCAGUACCUGACUGCAUUGGAGAGUCUCAAUCUCUACUACAACUGCAUCUCCUCGUUGGCAGAAGUGUUUCGGCUCCACGCCUUAACUGAGCUCAUGGACGUGGACUUCCGGCUGAACCCUGUGGCGAAGGUUGAGCCUGACUACCGCCUUUUUGUUGUGCACCUGCUCCCCAAGCUCCGGCAGCUGGACGAUCGCCCCGUGAGAGAGAGCGAGCGGAAGGCUUCCCGACUGCAUUUUGCAUCAGAGGACUCACUCGAUUCAAAAGAGAGCAUCCCAGCAUCUUUGAAAGAGGGCAGACCAUGCCACCCCAGAGCCAAGUGCACCGAGGCCUCGGCCAAGCAGAGCCUGGUCGUGGACGCAGAUGACGAGGCAGUCCUGAACCUCAUUGCAGAGUGCGAGUGGGAUCUCGGCAGGCCUCCUGGGAGCACGAGCUCCAGCCGGAAGGAGUGUGAGGCCGACUCUCGUGGUUCCCAAGAAUCCAGACAUCUGUUGAGCCCGCAGUUGGUACAGUACCAGUGUGGGGACUCCAGGAAGCAGAGCCGUGAGACGGGGAGGAGCAGCUGCAGAGGGUGCUGUCUGGAGAAGGUGCCUUGGAGCCGGCUCUGUAGAGAGCUCUCACCACCAUCCGGAGCGGAGCCGGAGGCCUCCCGUGCUCCCGGGCCACACGCGUACUUCACCCCACUCCCAGACUCUGUGGAUACCGAGGACUCGGCCUCUUCUCAGAAGUUGGAUUUGUCAGCAGAAAUGUUGCCUGGUACCCUGCCAGCCCCCGGAAAGUGCAGGAAGCGAAGAAUGCCUGGUGGAAGAUUCCAGGCGUUUUCAGACCAGGAGGGUCUGGGCUGCCUGGAGAGAACUCAUGGGUCAUCCAUGCCCGAGGAGAGCCUGAAUAGACAGAACAGCUCAGAAAGCAGGACCGGGAGGACCUUGUCUCAGCCUGAGGCCUCGGAGACUGAGGAGCAGAGGUCUCGGAGUGUGACUGACACCAGAGAGCCGUCUCCUGGGUCACACUCGACUCUAUCUGAGAAGAAGACGGCCCUGCAGGCGGCGCUCCUGGAGGCACUCUUGGACCUGGUGGACAGGAGCUGGGGCAGCUGCAGGUCCCUGCACAGCAAUGAGGCAUUCCUCGCUCAGGCAAGACACAUCUUGUCAUCUGUUGAAGAAUUCACAGCAGCUCAGGACAGCUCUGCGAUGGUGAGUGAAGACGUCGGCUCCCUGGCUCUGGAGAGUAAGUCCCUGCAAAGCCGCCUUGCUGAGCAGCAGCAGCGGCACGCCCGGGAGAUGAGCGAGGUGACGGCGGAGCUGCACCGCACACACAAGGAGCUGGUGAGCCUGCCCUGGUGCUGUGUCUGUGUCCAUGUGACUGGGGGAAACGCGGCUCUGACUUCAGGAAUGAGGGCAGUUUCUCAAUGCCACACUGUCCCAACCGCCAUCUCUGCAGCCCCACGUCUCCCCUCCCUGCCCGGGACCCGGCCACCCCCAGGAACGCGGCCUGCCCUGUCUCACAACAGGCCUGGAGCACUUUGGAGACAGCAGUGGCGCUGGCCACUUUCUCUCCCCGGGCCCCAGGGACCCUCCACCAUUGGGCGGUGCCAGGCGCUGAGACAGCCAGGCCUGGACAUGACUUUGUCUUGCUGAACCGUCUCAGGGCCUCAAACUGGAGACAGCUGAGGCCACUCUCCUUUUAUGAAGGAGAUGACGGCCACUGUCCCAUGGUGAGCUGGGGCUACAGGGCAAGUUACCCCAAAAUGAGCGGCUGAAAACCCACAUUUAUCACCUUGGAUUUCUGUGUGUUGGGCCUCAGGCUCAGCUCCGCCAGGCGCGUACGGCUCCGUCUCAGCCGUGGGCCGGCACCGCCGUCUCAUCUGAGGCCUCAUGGGACAGAAGCCUCCCAGGCUCCCUCCACGCUGCAAGGGCCUCCCCACGGGCUGCUAGCAUCCUUAGGACACAGAGCUGGUGGUCAGAGAGCCACACCCAGACAGAAGCCGCCCUCCAGGAGUCCUGGUGUGAGGGCAGAGCCACGUGAGGAUGUGCACACCCAGGGGGCCUUGUCAGCGUCUGUAAAAUGGGAGUGAAGUUGGCCCAGGACAGCUUCGAAAACUGCCUCUGAACUUGUCUCACAAGUACAUACAGUCUGUUUCAUGGGACCCUACAUCUCAGAGAUCCCACACAACGCUUCCUCUUUAGAGAAGAAAAAACACAGAUGGCAAAACAACACAGGCAGCCUUUGUUUAAAUGCACGUGCCCCCCCACCCCCCACCGUCUGGAAGCCUCUGCAUGUGGCCUUCAUCUGGAAGCCUCGUAUUUUUUUUUUUUUUUUUUUUGAGACGGAGUCUUGCUCUUUCGCCCAGGCUGGAGUGCAGUGGCGCAAUCUCGGCUCACUGCAAGCUCUGCGUCCCGGGUUCACGCCAUUCUCCUGCCUCAGCCUCUCCGAGUAGCUGGGACUACAGGCGCCCGCCACCACGCCUGGCUAAUUUUUUGUAUUUUUUAGUAGAGACGGGGUUUCACCGUGGUCUCGAUCUCCUGACUUUGUGAUCCGCCCGCCUCGGCCUCCCAAAGUGCUGGGAUUACAAGUGUGAGCCACUGCGCCCGGCCGAAGCCUCGUAUUUAAACACACGUGGGCCUCCUCCAUCUGGAAGCCUCUGUAUUUAAACACACAUGGGUCCCCUUCCCCCAUUCCAGAAGUCUUUGUAUUUAAAUACACAGGGCCCCUCCUUCCCCCGUCCAGAAGCCCCUGCAUUUAAACCAACGUGGCCCCUCCUCUGGAAGCCUCUGGAUUUAAACACGUGUGGCCCCCCGUCUGGAAGCCUUUGUACUUAAACACACAUGACCCGCUGUCUGGAAAGUGAGCUGGGCGCCAUCACUGAUGAUGUCUUUUCUGUGGGACGCAGCAGGGCACACCCCUUGCCCUUCUGAGCCUGGGACCAGACGGAGCCAACAGGCGGAGCCCAAAGGUGUGCCGAGCGCCAGUGCAGCUGGUGGUGGGAGUCAUGUGCAGCUAUGGCCACCGUGGACGCCUGCUUUUUCGCCCUCUGCAGUUUGCCUAACCCCAUCCCUUGGGGCAGUCCUGGGCCGCGGGACAGAACAGCCCCGGUUCCCUGUCAGGGUGAGUGAACCGGAAGAAUCUGGCAGCCCGAGCCCCGCGGGUAAGGAGCAGUCAGCACGGUCAGGAACCUGGUGGAGGGAGCAGCCGGGCAGGCUGGUGGGCGCUGCCUUCCAGGGAGACGCACAUCUGUCACUCCAGAAGCACCCAAGUUCACUCUGCCACGUGAGGACGCUCAUCCCUCGGUCACAUGAUCCUAGACCUUGCUUUCUUUGGAAGCUGCAGUCGGGUGUCCUGAGGCAAGGUGGCCCCACUCCCAGCUGCUGUGCCUGGCACGGCCUCCGAGGCAGAUGGGCUGUGCUCAGCCUGGGUGCAGUCAGUCCUCUGUUCCCUGCGCCUGCCGUGGCCUAGACACCAAAAAAUAAAAAAUAAAAAAUUAGCCAGGCGUGGUGGCCUACUCCCGUCAUCCCGGCUAUUUUGGGAGGUAGAGGCAGGAGGCUCAGGCAUUGGGGGCUGCAGUGAGCUGUGAUUGCUCCACUGCCCUCUAGUUUGGACGACAGAGCGAGACUUUGCCUCAAAGAAACAAAUGAAAAAGAGCUGGGAGCUCACAGCCCUGCCUUAAGAGCUCACCGCGUCCUUGGGAGGCAAAAUCAUGAGACGUGGCGCUGCCAGGAGCUUUCUGGACGACCCAAAGCACCACGCAGAGGGCAGGUCUUGCUGGUUGGCACCACUGCAACAGACACCUUGAGGAGAAGGCCGCGAAAUGAAGAACUGGCCAAGAUAAGCCUGAGGGGAACGGUCUCAGACCCAGCGAUCAGCUUUCACUGUGGGUGUCGGGGGCCUGGCGGGCGCGUGCAUGCUGAGGGGCUGUCGGCGGGUGGGCUCGCAGAGCAGAGAAGGACGAAGCAGCGAUACCCGCAGCACGAGGCUUCUGCUGCACAGACUCGGGCGCUCCCUCCCCUGGUGGCAGUGAGCUGGGGCCUGCUCAGCACCCCCGGCCCCAGGAUGUGCCUGCUGGUGCCUGAGAGAGCAGCAGCCAGGAUGAUUUGAGACAACAUUUAGAUAAAUCUUUGGAAGAGAACAGUAGCUUAAAAUCAGUUUUGUUGAGUAUGAAAAAGGAAGUGAAGAAUGCAGACACUGCAGCCACGUUAAAUUUGCAGAUCGCUG